ACGUAGGUGGCAAGCGUUGUCCGGAAUUACUGGGUGUAAAGGGAGCGCAGGCGGGGAGACAAGUCAGCUGUGAAAACUAUGGGCUUAACCCAUAAACUGCAGGUGAAACUGUUUUUCUUGAGUGGAGUAGAGGUAUGGGGAAUUCCGAGUGUAGCGGGGAAAUGCGAAAAUCCUCGGAGGAACACCAGUGGCGAAGGCGGCCAACUGGACUCAACCUGACGCUGAGGCACGAAAGUGUGGGGAGCAAACAG
rnacentral:rRNA from 1 species